GGCGACGUAGGGAAGUGGCUUAACCCACACCUCUGCAAAAGGUGGUUUCGGCAGUUCGAAUCUGCUCGUCGCCUC
rnacentral:tRNA from 1 species